CCUGGCGGCCUUAGCGCGGUGGUCCCACCUGACCCCAUGCCGAACUCAGAAGUGAAACGCCGUAGCGCCGAUGGUAGUGUGGGGUCUCCCCAUGCGAGAGUAGGGAACUGCCAG
rnacentral:rRNA from 4 species